UACGUAGGUGGCAAGCGUUGUCCGGAAUUAUUGGGCGUAAAGCGCGCGCAGGCGGUCCUUUAAGUCUGAUGUGAAAGCCCACGGCUCAACCGUGGAGGGUCAUUGGAAACUGGGGGACUUGAGUGCAGGAGAGAAGAGUGGAAUUCCCCGUGUAGCGGUGAAAUGCGUAGAGAUGGGGGAGAACACUCGUGGCGAAGGCGGCCAGCUAGACCAGUUCUGACACUGAGGCGCGACAGCGUGGGGAGCAAACAGG
rnacentral:rRNA from 1 species